GAUGAACGCUAGCGACAGGCUUAACACAUGCAAGUCGAGGGGAAACGACAUCGAAAGCUUGCUUUUGAUUGGCGUCGGCCGGCGCACGGGUGAGUAACGCGUAUCCAACCUGCCCAUCACUUGGGAAUAACCUUGCGUAAGUAAUACUAAUACCCAAUGAUAUCCCACGAAGUCAUCGGAAUGGGAUGAAAGAUUUAUCGGUGAUGGAUGGGGAUGCGUCUGAUUAGCUUGUUGGUGGGGUAACGGCCCACCAAGGCAACGAUCAGUAGGUGUUAUGAGAGUCAGGUCCCCCACAAUUGAAACGAGACACGGACCAAAAUGCUACGCGAGGCAGCAGUGAGUAAUAUUAGUCAAGGGGCGAGAGCCUGAACCAGCCAAGUAGCGUGCAGGAAGCCGGCCCUCUGGGUUGUAUACUGCUUUUAUAAGGGAAUAAAGUGGGUAACGUGUGACUUUUUGACUGUACCUUAUGAAUAAGGACCGGCUAAUUCCGUG
rnacentral:rRNA from 1 species